CAGUAUUGAGUGCCGAUGUGAAGAUCGACUUUUGAAGAAGCUGCUUCUAGCACAAAGCUUGCCUCACUCCUUCCUAAGGAAAAACUUGAGAUAUAAACCACAAAAGGGAAAAAAGAAGUGAAGCUAAUGGAAGAUGCUAUGUUUCAGGGAACUGCCUGUCUUUCUACCAAGACGAAUUGAUGAGAACACGAAUGUGAUUAGAAGUACAAUGCCCACAGAUUUCAUGUUCCUUCUCUCCCUCGAGGACCAGGGUCUUGCAUUCGAUGACAGGAUCCAGGGAAGUCAGAGCAAGAGCCAAAUCAACAGGAAAAGCAUCAGAGGAAUAAUGGAGAAAAAAAAAAAAUGCAGAGAAGAUCAGUAAUGAGAACCUCCUACCUAUUUUAUUCAAAGUGAUUAUGGAAUGAAUCUUUGCGACUUUUUAUGGAACACGUUAAAAAAACAAGAUCCCCCCCACACCCUCUUAAAGGUAGGUGGUGAUAGUUUCCCUGGUUCACUCUGUGUAAUCCAACUGCCAAUGAUCCCCCAG
rnacentral:lncRNA from 1 species